rnacentral:rRNA from 1 species
GUACACUCCUACGGGAGGCAGCAGUGGGGAAUCUUGCGCAAUGGGCGAAAGCCUGACGCAGCCAUGCCGCGUGAAUGAUGAAGGUCUUAGGAUUGUAAAAUUCUUUCACCGGGGACGAUAAUGACGGUACCCGGAGAAGAAGCCCCGGCUAACUUCGUGCCAGCAGCCGCGGUAAUACGAAGGGGGCUAGCGUUGCUCGGAAUUACUGGGCGUAAAGGGAGCGUAGGCGGACAUUUAAGUCAGGGGUGAAAUCCCGGGGCUCAACCUCGGAAUUGCCUUUGAUACUGGGUGUCUUGAGUAUGAGAGAGGUGUGUGGAACUCCGAGUGUAGAGGUGAAAUUCGUAGAUAUUCGGAAGAACACCAGUGGCGAAGGCGACACACUGGCUCAUUACUGACGCUGAGGCUCGAAAGCGUGGGGAGCAAACAGGAUUAGAUACCCCAGUAGUCCCAUG